rnacentral:lncRNA from 1 species
CAGGCAGCCAGGGACUGAAGCUGGACAAAGAUGGGCACAGUGGCAGCAGCAGGAGCCCCACGCCGGCACAGGAGCCCUCCUAGGACACGGUUCCUUCACUGACAGAAAAUCAACAGAAAGCAAAACCCAACUGUGGGUUGAGGCAGAAAAUCAAACCAGUUGUCCAAGCCCAAGCCAAGUGACAGAGGCUCCUUCCAGCAGCUGCACCAGCCUAUGACACGUGUAAACCAAAACAGAUCAGCUACUGCCAACAGGAGCUCUGCCCACUACAGCAGGUGCCAGGAGGGCACACAGAGUCCUCAGAAGCCUUCAGCUGUGUUGUACUCUGGCUGGAGACAGGUCACAGCCUGCUGGGACAAGGGAUUUGCUUAUUUUUGUUUCUCUAGGGAGCAGUUCCAGUGCACAGCCAUUGCACAGAGCACAGAAAGGCCAUGGCACUCCCACAGUGGGACAGCACCAACCCCAGAGCUCCUCCUCAACCACCUGUGCUCCAGCAGGGAACAUGUACCUGGCCAGUCACAGGAAAGCCUCUCCUUAGAAGAAAUUCCCUAAUGCACAGGUUAGUGCUGCCUGGAAUGACUAAAGCAAUGCUCUAAGGGUACAUUAAAUAACUACUUUCAGUGCUAGUUCACCUCUGGCUGCAGCACCUGCACCCAGGGGCUUAGGGCCCUUGCUCACCUGGUGCCAGUGCAGUGGUGAUGGUGACACAGGUGACAUCCAGUCCCCAGCCAUGUCUGACCAGACUGGGGAAGGGCCAUUUCACAGAGCAAACCCCUCACCCAGCCCCUUCAAGAUGCAUUCACCCAGACUGCCCGUUCUGAUCUGUGCUCAGGUGCUGUGGGCUGCUCCAGCCA